rfam:Triticum aestivum genome assembly, contig: Triticum_aestivum_CS42_TGACv1_scaffold_485600_6AS
ACUCAAUCGGUAGAGUACAAAGCUCCUAACCUUAUGGACGUGGGUUCAAGCCCCAU